rnacentral:rRNA from 1 species
CAGCCGCCGCGGUAAUACAGAGGCCUCAAGCGUUGUUCGGAUUCAUUGGGCGUAAAGGGUGCGUAGGCGGUUCCGUAAGUCGGAUGUGAAAUCUUGGGGCUCAACCUCAAAACUGCAUUCGAUACUGCGGAGCUAGAGGACUGGAGAGGAGAGUGGAAUUCACGGAGUAGCAGUGAAAUGCGUAGAUAUCGUGAGGAAGACCAGCGGCGAAGGCGGCUCUCUGGACAGUCCCUGACGCUGAUGCACGAAGGCCAGGGGAGCAAACGGGAUUAGAGACCCCAGUAGUCCCUGUCUCUUAUAC